rnacentral:rRNA from 1 species
GACGAACGCUGGCGGCGUGCCUAACACAUGCAAGUCGAACGAGGUCCAUCCUUCGGGAGAAGACCUAGGGCGAACGGGUGAGUAACACGUGAAGAACCUGCCCCGAAGACCGGGAUAACCCUCCGAAAGGAGAGCUAAUACCGGAUACCCCCACCGAACCGCAUGGUUUGGUGAGGAAAUGGAUUCCGCUUCGGGAGGGCUUCGCGGCCUAUCAGCUAGUUGGUGGGGUAACGGCCCACAAGGCAUCGACGGGUAGCUGGUCUGAGAGGACGAUCAGCCACACUGGGACUGAGACACGGCCCAGACUCCUACGGGAGGCAGCAGUGGGAAUCUUGCGCAAUGGGCGAAAGCCUGACGCAGCAACGCCGCGUGGGGGAUGAAGGCUCUCGGGUUGUAAACCCCUUUCAGCAGGGACGAAUCAAGACGGUACCCGCAGAAGAAGCCCCGGCUAACUACGUGCCAGCAGCCGCGGU